AUGGGUAUUCGGACACGGCCACACACAUGUUCCUUCACACACACACAAACAUAUUUAUUCAUACUAACGCAAGCACACAAACAUAUGCAUGCACCACCAUCUAAACAGGCUUCAAGCACACAUCCCCCCCCCCCCCCACAUCCAUACAGGCUUCACGCACACAUCCACACCCCCCACAUCCAUACAGGCUUCACGCACACAUCCACACACCCCCCACAUCCAUACAGGCUUCACGCACACAUCCACACACCCCACAUCCAUACAGGCUUCACGCACACAUCCACACACCCCACAUCCAUACAGGCUUCACGCACACAUCCACACACCCCCCACAUCCAUGCAGGCUCCACGCACUCAUCCACACACCCCACAUCCAUACAGGCUUCAUGCACACAUCCACACACCCCCCCCACAUCCAUACAGGCUUCACGCACACAUCCACACACCCCACAUCCAUACAGGCUUCACGCACACAUCCACACCCCCCACAUUCAUACAGGCUUCAUCCACACACCCCACAUCCAUACAGGCUUCACGCACACAUCCACACACCCCACAUCCAUACAGGCUUCACACACACAUCCACACCCCCCACAUCCAUACAGGCUUCAUCCACAUCCAUACAGGCUUCACACACACAUCCACACACCCCACAUCCAUACAGGCUUCACGCACACAUCCACACAACCCCCACAUCCAUACAGGCUUCCACGCACAUCCAUACAGGCUUCACGCACACAUCCACACAGCACACAUCCAUACAGGCUUCACGCACACAUCCACACACCCCACAUCAGUACAGGCUUCACGCACACAUCCACACCACCCCCCACAUCCAUACAGGCUUCACGCACACAUCCACACCCCCCACAUCCAUACAGGCUUCACGCACACAUCCACACCCCCACAUCCAUACAGGCUUCAUGCACACAUCCACACCACCCCCCACAUCCAUACAGGCUUCACGCACACAUCCACACACCCCACAUCCAUACAGGCUUCACGCACACAUCCACACCCCCCACAUCCAUACAGGCUUCACGCACACAUCCACACACCCCACAUCCAUACAGGCUUCACGCACACAUCCACACACCCCACAUCCAUACAGGCUUCACGCACACAUUCUCGUGCACGCACACACCCACACACAGACUGACCAUGUCGUCAUCUUCACACUCGUCCGGUGUGCCGCUCUCCUCCCCAUCCUCCACAUCACUGUUAUGGGUUUCGUCUACCAGCUUCUCUGUGUCCGAGCAUGACUCGUCCUGA
rnacentral:lncRNA from 8 species